rnacentral:rRNA from 1 species
AUUGAACGCUGGCGGCAUGCCUUACACAUGCAAGUCGAGCGGCAGCGCGGGGGCAACCCUGGCGGCGAGCGGCGAACGGGUGAGUAAUACAUCGGAACGUGUCCAGUAGCGGGGGAUAACCUGUCGAAAGAUAGGCUAAUACCGCAUACGACCUACGGGUGAAAGCGGGGGACCGCAAGGCCACGCACUAUUGGAGCUGCCGAUGUCGGAUUAGCUAGUUGGCGGGGUAACGGCCCACCAAGGCGACGAUCCGUAGCUGGUCUGAGAGGACGACCAGCCACACUGGAACUGAGACACGGUCCAGACUCCUACGGGAGGCAGCAGUGGGGAAUUUUGGACAAUGGGCGCAAGCCUGAUCCAGCCAUGCCGCGUGAGUGAAGAAGGCCUUCGGGUUGUAAAGCUCUUUCGGCGGGGACGAAACGGUCCGUGCCAACACCACGGAUCAAUGACGGUACUCGCAGAAGAAGCACCGGCUAACUACGUGCCAGCCGCCGCCGUAA